rnacentral:rRNA from 1 species
GACGAACGCUGGCGGCGUGCUUAACACAUGCAAGUCGUACGGUAAGGCCCUUUCGGGGGUACACGAGUGGCGAACGGGUGAGUAACACGUGAGUAACCUGCCCACAACUUUGGGAUAACGCUAGGAAACUGGUGCUAAUACUGGAUAUGUGCUCCUGCUGCAUGGUGGGGGUUGGAAAGCUCCGGCGGUUGUGGAUGGACUCGCGGCCUAUCAGCUUGUUGGUGGGGUAGUGGCCUACCAAGGCGGCGACGGGUAGCCGGCCUGAGAGGGUGACCGGCCAAAGUGGGACUGAGAUACGGCCCAGACUCCUACGGGAGGCAGCAGGGGGGAAUAUUGCACAAUGGGCGCAAGCCUGAUGCAGCAACGCCGCGUGCGGGAUGACGGCCUUCGGGUUGUAAACCGCUUUCAGCAGGGACGAAGCUUUUUGUGACGGUACCUGCAGAAGAAGCACCGGCUAACUACGUG